rnacentral:lncRNA from 1 species
GUUCAAUCCCAUCCACUCCCCUCCCAAGCCCCUCCCCAUUUAACAAAACCCAACACAGAAAUGUGAAUCAAGCGCAAAAACAGAGUCUUGUAUUCCAACCACUCAAUUUCAAUAGCUAUUUCAUUCAUCGCUAUGCUCUUCACAUCUUCUAUUAAUCAUGGCAAAAUAUAUUUCUUUUUAAUUCUCUGCAGGCCUUUUCUCCUCCCUUUGCUCUGUGCGGUGGGCCCCUUUAUUUGCUGUUUGGAAAUAUGUUUCCGAAUACGCCGCCUACGGCGUCGGCGGCGGCUGCAGCAGAAGGAGGAAGUUUGCUGUGGAGAUGCCGGAAAUAAGGUGGGAUUGUUGCAUAGGUAUUUGGAAGAUCAGCUGUUGCUUGUGGUUGGAUCUGUAUGUAAUUGUGGUGACGAGGGUGAAAAUGAAAAUGAAGGAGUGGAAGAUGGGGUUGAUUUUGAAUAUUUCGAAAAUACUGGUCCUCUUUUUCAAUGAGUCUGAAAUUUGAUAGUUUCUUUUUCUUUUGUGUUUAUAUACUAAUUGAAGUCAACUGUAACGACGGUGAAAUGUUUGAC